AAGAAUAAAAUAUUAAAUGUGAAAUAUAAUGUUUUCUCUUUGCCAUUCACAAAUAAAGAAUAUUUACCUUGUUUAGUUUUUAAGUCCAUUUUCUCCAACAAAUGGACUUCUUCUAAACUACGUAAUAAUUGAAGUACAAACAUACCGAAUUAACAAUUUGCUUUGGAUUCCGAUUACAUUAUAUGAAGAAUGAUUGUGUGAUAAAUUUGCUCGAUGAUACUGUACUCAAUUUUAUUUUCCGUAUACACGUUGGCAUUGCAUUAUUUGUUAUUACACCACUAAGGUAUGGAACUAUUUUUUUAUUCCACGAUCCUACACGCUAAAUGUAUUCUUAUUUAAAACUAAUUAAUAAUGUUUUACCGCGAUUAAUCUCCAUGAAUUUAAUCAUUUUAAUAAUAAAAUAAAAAUAAAUCAAAUUAUUCAAAAGUUAAAAUUAUAAAAGUGAAAAAACGACGACGCGCGAUGUAACGAAUAGGACACGCGUACAGACUAUAGAUAUUGUACAAGCAUU